rnacentral:misc_RNA from 1 species
GCAAACUUGGUCAUUUAGAGGAAGUAAAAGUCGUAACAAGGUUUCCGUAGGUGAACCUGCGGAAGGAUCAUUAAAGAGUACCGGGCCUCUCAGGCCCGCGCUCCAACCCUUUGUAUACCAAACCCAGUUGCUUUGGCGGGCCUGCGGCCUGAAAACCGCCGCCGGCCUCGGCUGGCGCGCGCCCGCCAGAGGACCACCGAAAUUCAGCUUUACGUGUCGUCUGAGCGAAUGAUAAAUCAUUUAAAACUUUCAACAACGGAUCUCUUGGUUCUGGCAUCGAUGAAGAACGCAGC